UCUACUGUUUUAUGACUGGGAGAGCCGCUCUGCAUUGCCUUUAAGGGAUAAAGGCUGAAUCUAUUUUUACAAGGAUCAUUCCAAUCAUUGUUGGAGUGUGUAAACAUACUACUAUUGAUAUACGAUGUUCGGUCCCCCCCACGGACGGGCAGCACGAAAACCACACCACGUCACCACGUCUGUUCCUGUAUGGGCUUCUUGGAUUUGUGAUCCACAAGGAAUGUUCAAAUAGUAACGCCAGAAUAACAAACCCCGUUCAAAAUGUUCAUUAAAAAUGCAAUCAUGUUGAAACCUUU